UACGGAGGGUGCGAGCGUUGUCCGGAAUCACUGGGCGUAAAGGGCGCGUAGGCGGCGCGAGUAGUCAACGGUGAAAGCCCGGGGCUCAACCCCGGGUCGGCCGUCGAUACUCUCGUGCUUGAGCACUGUAGAGGCAGGUGGAAUUCCGGGUGUAGCGGUGGAAUGCGUAGAGAUCCGGAAGAACACCGGUGGCGAAGGCGGCCUGCUGGGCAGUAGCUGACGCUGAGGAGCGAAAGCGUGGGGAGCGAACAGG
rnacentral:rRNA from 1 species